UUCCGGUUGAUCCCGCCGGACCUGACUGCUAUCGGAUUGAUACUAAGCCAUGCGAGUCAUUGUAGCAAUACAAGGCAUACGGCUCAGUAACGCGUAGUCAAUCUAACCUAUGGACGGGGAUAACCUCGGGAAACUGAGAAUAAUACCCGAUAGAACAUUAUGCCUGGAAUGGUUUAUGUUUCAAAUAAUUUAUUGCCGUAGGAUGGGAGUGCGGCCUAUCAGUUCGUUGGUGAGGUAAUGGCCCACCAAGACUAUUACAGGUACGGGCUCUGAGAGGAGUGGCCCGGAGAUGGGUACUGAGACACGGACCCAGGCCCUAUGGGGCGCAGCAGGCGAGAAAACUUUGCAAUGUGCGAAAGCACGACAAGGUUAAUCCGAGUGGUUUCUGCUAAAGGAACCUUUUGUUAGUCAUAGAACCACUAAUGAAUAAGGGGUGGGCAAGUUCUGGUGUCAGCCGCCGCGGUAAAACCAGCACCUCAAGUGGUCAGGAUGAUUAUUGGGCCUAAAGCAUCCGUAGCCUGCUUUGUUAGUUUUCGGUUAAAUCCAUACGCUUAACGUAUGGGCUGCCGGGAAUACUGCAAAGCUAGGGAGUGGGAGAGGUAGACGGUACUCGGUAGGAAGGGGUAAAAUCCUUUGAUCUAUUGAUGACCACCUGUGGCGAAGGCGGUCUACCAGAACACGUCCGACGGUGAGGGAUGAAAGCUGGGGGAGCAAACCGGAUUAGGUACCCGGGUAGUCCCAGCUGUAAACUAUGCAAACUCGGUGAUGCAUUGGCUUGAUGCCAAUGCAGUGCCGCACGGAAGCCGUUAAGUUUGCCGCCUGGGAAGUACGUACGCAAGUAUGAAACUUAAAGGAAUUGGCCGGGGGAGCACCAACAAGGGGUGAAGCCUGCGGUUCAAUUGGAUUCACGCCGGAAA
rnacentral:rRNA from 1 species